CUGGAUCCCAUAAAGGGAGAGGGACAGGGCCUAAAACCCACAGAAGCCCGGGGCUCGCGCCCACGGCCGCCCCCAAGCAGAACAGGGAGCCUGGACCAGAGAAGGGGCCCUGGGCUGAGGACUUGAGCAACUGAAAGAUUAUUGAAAGCCAGAGCACACAGAGCUCACCGGGGGAAGUGGAGGGGCCGGAUGCUGCUAUGGGACACUGUUACUGCGCGAAGCUGGCGAGGUGCCUGGCGAUUGGUGGCCAGGGUGGACGGAUGUGCGGGUGAAGUUAACACCGUCACAGCCACAGACGUUCCUUAGCAGAGCUGUGGAGUGUGACAAUGGUGUUUGUGUCCAAACUAUCAAACGCCAUUAUCACACUAAAUAGCUACUGUUAGGCAAUCCUUCCGCUCAAUAAAUGCUUUGGCAUCUGUUUGGAAUGAGCAAGAAGGUUCCGCUUAGAGCAGUGUUGCCAGUUAUGUGUGGUUACUGAAUAAAUUCCGGUCCCUUUAUGCUCAUAA